UACUACCGCUGCUUCAUCCCCAACUUUUCCUCCAUAGCCGCCCCCUUGACAGACCUGACCAAGAAGGGGCAGCCUGAGCGUGUCAUCUGGAGCCCAGUGACAGAAAAGGCCUUUCAACAAAUCAAACACGCUCUGACCGAGGGACCAGUCCUGCGAGCACCGGACUUCGGCUGCCCCUUCUUGCUGCAGACAGACGCGUCGGAAACAGGGUUGGGAGCCGUCCUGUCCCAAAUCCAGGAAGGUGAGGAACACCCUGUCCUCUACAUCAGCAGGAAGCUGACAAAGGCCGAGAGGAACUAUGCGACCGUCGAGAGAGAGGCUCUGGCCAUUAAGUGGGCAGUCCUGGAGCUGCGGUAUUACCUGUUGGGCCGAAGAUUCACCUUGCUCACCGACCACGCUCCCCUGCAAUGGAUGGCAAAGGCAAAGGACACCAACGCCAGGGUGACACGCUGGUUCCUCGCGCUCCAGGACUUCUGCUUUACCAUCCGUCACCGGGCCGGAGCCUCCAACGCCAACGCCGACGGACUCUCUCGGAUCUGGUCAGCUUAUGCAGGUCUGUCAGGGGUCACUCCCCGCCCACCCCCAAUUUCCCCCUUACUGCCAUCUUGUUUUGCCUCCAGGACCAGGACAACGCUUAGGGGGGGGGAGUGUGACGAGUUCUCAUCAGCGUUGCCCUGGGGACAAAGGCGAAACACCUGCACCGCCUCAUCAGGGCUGGGCCGGUCGCACCUGAAGCUCAUCAGUCCCCAACCAUAUAAGCCGGACGCGGCUGGGUGAGAGGGAGAAGACGGACUUCGCGCUGAUUGUGGCUUAAUGUGUGCACUCUUCUCUCGUUUCAGAGGCCAGCGACUGACCGACCGACCCAGCCCUGACAAAAGGAGCCACGGAAUUGUCACCUCACGGCACGAAUCACACACGGAGAGCACCGCACCUCAGCCACCAGCCACCAGCCACCUUGCACCUAUUGCACUGCACUUUAAUUGAAUAAAUCCACCCUCCGGGGUAUUUAUUUUGAGCUCUCCUUGUCGCGUGAUUCUUCCACCCCGUCACAAUAUAUAUAUAUGUGUAUAUGUAAAUAAUUUGUGUGUGUGUGAUUACAGACGUUUACAAAGACUUAAUUGUAAAGAGAGAUGCUUUUAAGAGAGGAGAAGACAUCUGGAAGGCCAAUGCACAGCAAGGGAAAAAAACAUCUAAAGCCGUAAAGGUUUUUUAUUUUCUUAACCUUUUUUCUUUUUCUUUUUUUUUUUUGCGAAAUGUUAAUUGUCAUGUGUUGCUUUUAGAGUGCAAGUACAACUCAAAGUGCAGCUGAUGUUGCGAUGGGAGACAAACUCAAAAGAGACCUCCAGAACUUGCAAAGGAAAAAAGCAGCACCUGUAACCUCUACUCCGAUGUCAGACGAUUCAGAUAACACUGACAUUGACCUGUUUGAAAAUACAGAGCAGAGACCAUCAAGGAAAAGGGCUGCACUGGACAGUGACAACGAACAAGAAGAUAAUGCAAGUAAGGAAUUUGAGAACAGUCUUUUUCAGAGGACAUCUCCCCAGAACACUCUUGUCACGCUUGAUGAUGAUGUUGUCAAAGCUUUGAAAAGUAAAAUCUUAGGAAUUAAAAUGUAAAUAUGAAACCUUUAUUUAAGGAUUCAAUCCCUGAGUCAACAAUUCUUGAUCAGCUUCUCUCUUUUAGGUUACAAAAUUAUAUGUACAUGUGUGUAUAGGGCCAUUUAGCCUAGUUUUUAUAGUCAGUCUGUCCAAUUUAGUUACGUUAUAUUUAGGGUUGUUCCGAUUCCGAUACUAGUAUCGGAAAUUCCACCGAUACCACAAAAAAUUCUGGCAUCGGUAUCGGCGAGUACUUGAACCCAUGUACCGAUCCGAUACCAUUUUUAAACAAGACCUAUAGUUAUGCGCGCUAGCUUUGCUUAACGCUGCAAAUCGGAAAUCAAUUCUUCUUCGCUGCUCAGAAUGCAAAGACAGGAAGUUGUGCUGUGUUGCCACACAAGCAACCACUAUUUAGAGCAGAGAAGAAGAAAUACAAACGUGCUAGCACAUUGCCAGUAAGUUAAAUCACUCGCAUACGCGACUAAAUCUUCACCCUGGGCGACUAAAUGAUGUCUAAUAUUAGCCACUGGCUAAUAAAUGAUCAGAUUUUACUGGUAGGCUAUGUAUAAGUUUAGCACAGAUAUAUUGUCACUCGCUGAACACUCUGAGCGCUUCAGAGUUUCUCUCUCCGUCAAGCGAUAUAUUUUUCAGUUCAUCUGAAUGAAUGCGCAGCGCAGCUGUAUUUGACGUACCGUAAGCUCUAGUGUGAAGCGCACGACUCGCCGUCGCUUUGCUUUUUUCCUCACACGCAGAGAGAGAGAGAGGGAGAGGGAGCGAGGGAGUCUUACAUGUAGCGCGUCAAUUCUGCAUGAGCUUCCUGGGAUAGUAUCAUCUCUCAAAGAUUUCCUAGAGUCCAUGAAAAGAGGCUCACACAGCUCAAGCUCAAGUUCCAGUGAGCUGUCUCAUGCUGAAUCCUCAGAAAUGACACUGUGAUCAAAGAGUUCCCGAAUACGACAGUGUCUGAAGUGCGGGCCCUCAUUCGGAGGAAAUGCAACAACGAGUCAACCUCAAAAAACAGUCACUCUCCACUGGAAGGAUGAAGAUAGUGAUGUUCGAAUUGUUACAGUUCUUGGUUAACUGUUUGUGGCUAUUGCUAGUUUGUUAAAAAUGCAUUUUAUUGACUUCUGUGGUUUCAUAUUGGGUUCAACUGUUUGAUACCAUUGCUAUUUUGCUAAAAAUGCACUUUAUUGAUUUGUUUUUAUUAUUAUUAUUAUUUAUUUAUUUAUUUUUUUUUUGUGUGUGUGUUAAAUGUAGCUCUACAGAUCACUGAUCUUUAUGUUAUGUGAACAUAUUUUGGCUAAAGACUAUGUAAAAAAUGUACACAAUUAAAAUAAAGUUUUGUAGUUUUGGAAAUGCGUGUGUAUUUUAUAGUAAUGCUUCUUUACAGAAAGACUAUUUUGCAUUAUAUUUGUAAUAUAUUAAAAAUGUAUUAUUGUCAUGCUAAAUGGUUUUGUAAAAUAUAUUUUUAAUAUAUUAAUAGUGGCUCUUUUAGUGUUCCAAAAAUAUAUAAUUAAUGAGCUGAUGUUAUAUUUAAAA